rnacentral:lncRNA from 1 species
GCUGCCUGGACUUUCCAAAAAGGAUGUUUGCUGACGGGAUGGCUUGUUGGAGGAGGAAGAUUCUGUAGAAAUUCAGUUCCCUUGUAUGUUCCCAGCCUCUGGCAGGAGUUGGGGAUAAAAUUGAGCCCGUGGUACAAUGGGGAGACAGGUGCUAAGAAGAAAAUAAACAGAGAACGUCUUGCAGUGGGCAGCCAUUUCAGGAGGUAAAUGCCGGGGGGUGGUGUUUGAACAGUGACGGAAGGACAUGAAGAAGCGAGCGUGUGAAGGUGUGGAAGAAGUACAAUCCAUGCAGAAGAACCAGCAAGCCUUCUUUCCAUCUGGCAGUAUUAUGCAAGAUUCGGAACGAAUCUCCUCCUCCUCUCUUGCCUCUUCUCUUUUCUUUUAAAAAACCAAUUGAGAUUAUUAAAACCAAGAGGCCCCUAUCAAAGUUCUUUUACCCAAAAACUUUUGUCAAGUAGAACUCAUAUCUGGCUAAGUCACCUCCCACCUCCAGUCUCUUCAUCAGUCUCUUCAUCUGUCCAAUGUGAGGGUUGAUCCAGAUGCUCAGAGGGUUUUACGGGCAGAGGGGUAACGGGAUUUGUGUUGCUCAACCUGGGUUUGAAUCCUGGCUCUGCCAUUUCCUACCAAAGCAGUUGUGACAGUGUUUUCACCUCUCCGAGCCUCGGUAUCCUCAAAGCAGCCCUUUUGUGGUUGGAUGAAAUGCCCUGAGUCGAGCCUGGUAUCUGAAGCCCACAUCUGUUUC